AUGCUGACGGCCCCAUCCUCAUUCCAGCUUCCAUCACUGCCGGUUUCCGCAGUUCCGGCGUCCAUCUCCUGCAUGGCUGCAGACGCAGACGCGUCCUCAGAUGGAAGCAGAAUGCAUCAUUCCCGUAGAGCCGAUGCUGUCAUGCUCCGAUCCAGCGGUGCCGCUCAUCCCCACCGCGGCUGUGCGUCAUCAAUUUCUCAUGCAGUGUGUGCGGGUGCCGCCGGUCACGAGACACGCAAAAGCUUGGCCUACUUCGAGGUGCAAAAGCUCGUUGACAUAACAUUUAAAACAGAAGGCAUAGAUACAAAAAUAAAUCUUUCAUUAAAUGAAAUACAAAAUGUUGAUUAAAAUUCUCAUUCAUCCAUGUGAUGUCUAUUUGAGUAAUUAAAAUCCAUUAAUUGAUGUGG